rnacentral:misc_RNA from 1 species
UUCCGCAGCAGUGCUAUGGAGACCAUGCAACCCUUCGGGGAGGCAGCGCGACAUUAAAUACAGCUGUCGUUUGCAAGUUGAUCUUCGAUCAGCAACACAACCGAACUGACGGGGACCUCCUCAAGCCUACAGCACCAAUCGUCCAGGGAAACCUGGGCGGGGCCCUCACGGGGUGGUAAUAGUCUGUAGGAUACGUGGACAAUCCGCAGCGAAGUCCCUAAAGGCGCGAGCCUACGGGAAUCGUUCACAG